UCCAAUCUCACUUCUUUCGAGUUUCAUAGCCUUUUACCAUGGUUUGGAUGCGGCAAAGCUCCCUAAGGACCCAUUGGGGUCCUUGGCCAAUAUGAAGCACCUAAACAAUAUCAAACAUUGAAAAAGUGCAGUGUGGAAUUACCAGCCUUGUGCAUCAAAGUUUGGUGCGCACUCCCAAGGUGCUCAAAGCAAUUCUUACACGAAGGAUGUAGAACCUAAGGGAAAGAUAGAGCUUAAAGAUGAUCCGUAUAGAAUCAGUUAAUGACAGAAAACAACAGAAGAGUGUGAUAGCUCUGGUAAGAAGGUGAGUAAGACAAUAUCAGAUUAGAGUAUCACACAUGGUUUAGGGAAGACAAACACAAACAGGGGAAAGGGGAAUGAGGACAAGUAGUUCACAUGUAAGAGCACAGUUGCAAAUACAUAGUUACCAGAGAUUGGUAUUUCAAAACUUAGGCAGUCACAUUUUACCAGAAGUGGUUCAGGUUUACAUGCUGAUAGUUGUACUGGGGUUAGGGGGUAAGAAAGAACAUGCAUAAGACAUAUAAAGGAAGUAGUAGGCAUGCUAUAUUAAGGGAAAGAUACACAUAUCAAUUAACAUAGAGGUAUGCUAAUUGCAAUAAGAACAACGUAAGCACAAAUAAACGCAUAGAAGAAACAGAAUAAAGUGCAGAAUGUAUAAAAACAUGUUGUUUUGAGAGCUGUAAAUCAAAUGGAGGGCAUACGAGUCGAGGAUGAGAUAAUAUAGAGUAGUAGUGAGUAAUAAUAUGGAGAUAAGUGAGCAGGAGUAUGCAGAGAAGUGAGCAACAAUAGGCAGAUCAAAGUAGGUAGCAACGUAAAGAACAGUAGAGUAGUAAAGCAUCUUACAUCACUCAACCUUGGUUAUAAGUCGAAUGAGUAAUCAGUAGUCACAAAGAAAGUGAGAGAGGUUGUGUAGAAAUAAGAGAGAACACUGAAUAUGUUUUUGUGUAAGAGAGAUAGUUCAGAACAAUGAAUUUUGUUUGAUGUCUUAAUGAAAGCAUGAGGGUAUUUAUAGCUUUAAAAAUAAGGGAAUAAAAUAAGGUAACAAGUAUUGACUGAUCACAAUUUUAGAAAUAGUACCAACUAGAAUCAAUUAAGGACUCGAACUCCCUUCAAUUGGGGAGUCACAGUUCAAAUGGAUAUAAGUUGUAUCAAAUAAGGAAAAUAAUUCUUGGCAAGACUGGUAUUUCCCUAAUAGGAAUAGUAACUGAAUGAUGCAUGUAAUAGGGACUAAGCACAGAUUUUUUUCAAGUAAGGAAAGUAUAAUAACAGUAUAUUGUGCACCUAAACAGAGAGAUUACAAAAUUGAUUUUGAAAAAAUUAGUUCUGCGGAUGAGAUUGGAAAAUCAGAUGGAGUCAGUACUAAGUAAGGAAAACAUCUCACAAAUAAGGAGGUGAUUCCAAAUCAGCGUAAAACUUCUAACGAAAACAUAUACAAAUCAGGGAUUCGAAGAGAUGCAUAAAAUCAACAGAAUAUUUGGUAAACAAUGAAAAAUUAGACCUAUAAAACUCAAUAGGCAUGAAAAUCAGAGAACCCUGAUCAAUAAAAUCACAGAAUCAAUAGAAGACUGGAACCCUAAUAGAAAACUUAAAGCAUGGAACUCGGAGAGUAACCAGAAGAUCAUACAAACAAGCACAUAACACAAACAUAAACACAUAAUACUAAAAAAAGUCAGAAGAUAUAGUGAUUUCGAAAAAGGGUCGGAAACCCUAGCUUUUGAGAAAAAGAACAAAACAUUGAAAGCUGGAGUAAUCGAGGAAAUCAAAUAGAGGGUACUGUAAAACACAAAAGAAUAAGUUAAAAAAUCACUUUAAAAGACAUAGAUUGGGAGACUUAGGCAGAAAUUAGGGUUUCGCAAUAAAUCAGUGAGAGAAAAGGAACCUGGGUUUGAAACUCAUUAAUAAUGGGAUUCGUAGUACCAUCUGACCAAAAACCAUCGGAGAAAGGCCGGAGAGAAGCCAGGCAAGGCCUCCGGCAACCAUCUUGCAUGGUGGAAGCCUCUGGAGUCUCGAAGCUAGAGAGAAUCAACGAGAUACAGUUCCAUGGUAACUGGUGGUCGAGAGAAGUGAGGGUGCAGGUGGCUGGAGUGGCGGUGGAUUCAUCGGAGAUGAGAGAGAGAACCAGAAGGUUCUAGAGAGAAGGGAGAGCAAA
rnacentral:lncRNA from 1 species